GGGGAUGACGUCAAGUCCUCAUGGCCUUUAUGACCAGGGCGUACACACGUACUACAAUGGCAGGUACAAAGGGCAGCCACUUAGCGAUAAGGCGCGAAUCCCGUAAAACCUGUCUCAGUCCGGAUUGGAGUCUGCAACUCGACUCCAUGAAGUUGGAAUCGCUAGUAAUCGCAGAUCAGCACGCUCGCGGUCGAAUACGGUUCCCGGGCCUU
rnacentral:rRNA from 1 species